rnacentral:rRNA from 1 species
GAAGGGCGCAGCUGAUCCAGCCAUCCGCGUGCAGGACGAAGGCCUUCGGGUUGUAAACUGCUUUUGUACAGAACGAAAAGCCUUGGGUUAAUACCCUGGGGUCAUGACGGUACUGUAAGAAUAAGCACCGGCUAACUACGUGCCAGCAGCCGCGGUAAUACGUAGGGUGCGAGCGUUAAUCGGAAUUACUGGGCGUAAAGCGUGCGCAGGCGGUUUUGUAAGACAGAGGUGAAAUCCCCGGGCUCAACCUGGGAACUGCCUUUGUGACUGCAAGGCUAGAGUGCGGCAGAGGGGGAUGGAAUUCCGCGUGUAGCAGUGAAAUGCGUAGAUAUGCGGAGGAACACCGAUGGCGAAGGCAAUCCCCUGGGCCUGCACUGACGCUCAUGCACGAAAGCGUGGGGAGCAAACAGGAUUAGAUACCCUGGUAGUCCACGCCCUAAACGAUGUCAACUUG